rnacentral:rRNA from 1 species
CUAUUUUGCUGACGAGUGGCGCACGGGUGCGUAACGCGUAUACAAUCUACCUUUUACAGGGGGAUAGCCUUUGGAAACGAAGAUUAAUACCCCAUAGUAAGUAAAUUUCGCAUGGAAAUUACUUUAAAAUUUCGGUGGUAAAAGAUGAGUAUGCGUCCUAUUAGCUAGAUGGUGUGGUAACGGCACACCAUGGCAACGAUAGGUAGGGGCCCUGAGAGGGGGAUCCCCCACACUGGUACUGAGACACGGACCAGACUCCUACGGGAGGCAGCAGUGAGGAAUAUUGGACAAUGGGCGAGAGCCUGAUCCAGCCAUGCCGCGUGCAGGAAGACUGCCCUAUGGGUUGUAAACUGCUUUUAUACGGGAAGAACCCCACCUACGUGUAGGUGGCUGACGGUACCGUAAGAAUAAGGAUCGGCUAACUCCGUGCCAGCAGCCGCGGUAAUACGGAGGAUCCAAGCGUUAUCCGGAAUCAUUGGGUUUAAAGGGUCCGUAGGUGGACAAUUAAGUCAGGGGUGAAAGUCUGCGGCUCAACCGUAGAAUUGCCUUUGAUACUGGUUGUCUUGAAUCAUUGUGAAGUGGUUGGAAUGAGUAGUGUAGCGGUGAAAUGCAUAGAUAUUACUCAGAACACCGAUUGCGAAGGCAGAUCACUAACAAUGUAUUGACACUGAUGGACGAAAGCGUGGGGAGCGAACAGGAUUAGAUACCCUGGUAGUCCACGCCGUAAACGAUGGUCACUAGCUGUUCGGAC